AGGAGGCGUCGAGCGGCGGACGGGUGAGUAAUGCAUAGGAAUCUGCCCGGUAGUGGGGGAUAACCUGGGGAAACUCAGGCUAAUACCGCAUACGUCCUACGGGAGAAAGCAGGGGCUCUUCGGACCUUGCGCUAUCGGAUGAGCCUAUGUCGGAUUAGCUGGUUGGUGAGGUAACGGCUCACCAAGGCGACGAUCCGUAGCUGGUCUGAGAGGAUGAUCAGCCACAUCGGGACUGAGACACGGCCCGAACUCCUACGGGAGGCAGCAGUGGGGAAUAUUGGACAAUGGGCGCAAGCCUGAUCCAGCCAUGCCGCGUGUGUGAAGAAGGCCCUCGGGUUGUAAAGCACUUUCAGUGGGGAAGAAAUCCUCGGGGCUAAUACCCUCGAGGGAGGACAUCACCCACAGAAGAAGCACCGGCUAACUCCGUGCCAGCAGCCGCGGUAAUACGGAGGGUGCGAGCGUUAAUCGGAAUUACUGGGCGUAAAGCGCGCGUAGGCGGCGUGAUAAGCCGGUUGUGAAAGCCCCGGGCUCAACCUGGGAACGGCAUCCGGAACUGUCAGGCUAGAGUGCAGGAGAGGAAGGUAGAAUUCCCGGUGUAGCGGUGAAAUGCGUAGAGAUCGGGAGGAAUACCAGUGGCGAAGGCGGCCUUCUGGACUGACACUGACGCUGAGGUGCGAAAGCGUGGGUAGCAAACAGGAUUAGAUACCCUGGUAGUCCACGCCGUAAACGAUGUCGACUAGCCGUUGGGGUCCUUGAGACCUUUGUGGCGCAGUUAACGCGAUAAGUCGACCGCCUGGGGAGUACGGCCGCAAGGUUAAAACUCAAAUGAAUUGACGGGGGCCCGCACAAGCGGUGGAGCAUGUGGUUUAAUUCGAUGCAACGCGAAGAACCUUACCUACUCUUGACAUCGUGCGAACUUGGUAGAGAUAGAUUGGUGCCUUCGGGAACGCACAGACAGGUGCUGCAUGGCCGUCGUCAGCUCGUGUUGUGAAAUGUUGGGUUAAGUCCCGUAACGAGCGCAACCCUUGUCCCUAUUUGCCAGCGAUUCGGUCGGGAACUCUAGGGAGACUGCCGGUGACAAACCGGAGGAAGGUGGGGACGACGUCAGGUCAUCAUGGCCCUUACGAGUAGGGCUACACACGUGCUACAAUGGCCGGUACAAAGGGUUGCGAAGCCGCGAGGUGGAGCCAAUCCCGAAAAGCCGGUCUCAGUCCGGAUCGGAGUCUGCAACUCGACUCCGUGAAGUCGGAAUCGCUAGUAAUCGUGAAUCAGAAUGUCACGGUGAAUACGUUCCCGGGCCUUGUACACACCGCCCGUCACACCAUGGGAGUGGACUGCAC
rnacentral:rRNA from 1 species